UACAUGGGGUGCAAACGUUGCUCGGAAUUAUUGGGCGUAAAGCGCACGUAGGCGGUUCGUUAAGUCGGAUGUGAAAGCCCUCGGCUCAACUGAGGAAGUGCACCCGAAACUGGCGAGCUUGAGUACGAAAGAGGAUCGCGGAAUUCCCGGUGUAGAGGUGAAAUUCGUAGAUAUCGGGGAGGAACACCGGGUGGCGAAGGCGGCGAUCUGGGUCGAUACUGACGCGUGAGGUGCGAAAGCGUGGGGAGCAAACAGG
rnacentral:rRNA from 1 species